UUAGUUGCAAUGUCUUGCGUGCAAAUAAUAGUGAUUAGUGUGGUUUGUACUAUAUAAGCUCUGUUCUCAGUUGCGGAUUUUUGGGGAUUAAAUACUAAACUCCUGAAGGAUAGGCUUAACCCUUGCAUAAUAGAGCGGCAGGCGUAAAAGCACAUCGAAAUAUCUGGAGGAACGUUUAACAACGACAUAAAUACAGCAUGACAAAAUAUCCAGAGAGUGAAAGCAAGAGUGGAGUGUGACAGUGAAAACAAUGUUCAAUAAAUUUAAUGCCGUAGGCUUCGGAUCUCAAUUUGUCAGGAAAGUCGAAUUAUAGCAGUAAUGAAGCAUUGAAA